GGAUGCGAUCAUACCAGCACUAAAGCACCGGAUCCCAUCAGAACUCUGAAGUUAAGCGUGCUUGGGCGAGAGUAGUACUAGGAUAGGUGACCUCCUGGGAAGUCCUCGUGUUGCAUUCC
rnacentral:rRNA from 1 species